UGGACACCCUGCUACUGAUGGGGACUGGCUCCUGCCUUUUGCUCACCACUACAAAUGCCACUGCACUGAGAAUUACUGACAUUGUCACCGAGGGGGCUGUGGUUGUAUUAUAGAGAAAUCCAGAACUCACAGCCAAUUCAUCUGUGUUGCUUUCCCAGGAACAGUGAUGUUUGUUUUGACAGGAAUCUUUCAGUGAUGUUUUCCAAUUAAAAAAA